rnacentral:rRNA from 1 species
GACAUAGGUCGCAAACGUUAUCCGGAAUUAUUGGGCGUAAAGGAUGCGUAGAUGGUUCAAUAAGUUACUGGUGGGAAAUCGAGGCUCAACCUCGUGGAAGUCAGUAAUACUGUUGAACUUGAGUGCAGGAGAGGUUAACGGAACUUUAUGUGGAGCGGUAAAAUGCGUAGAUAUAUGAAAGAACAUCAAUAUGGCGAAGGCAGUUAACUAUUCUGAUUACUGACGUUGAGGCAUGAAAGCGUGGGGAGCAAAACGG